CUUUCGCGGGCACCCGCUUAUAAACCUCAGGCGCUCGCUGGAGCAGCCCCGGGCAGCGGGUCCUUCUUCUCCGCUCCGGCGGCAGUGGCGGCUCCUGGUUCAUGUUUUUAGCCCGUUUUUUGGUAAAGAUGGCAGCCAACAAUGCAGUGCUGAACAGACUGGAGCAGAAGGGUGCAGAGGCUGAUCAAGUCAUUGAGUACCUCAAGCAACAAGUUGCUCUGCUCAAGGAAAAAGCUAUCUUGCAGGCAUCUCUCCGCGAAGAGAAAAAGCUCCGUGUGGAAAAUGCUAAACUGAAGAAGGAAAUUGAAGGGCUGAAACAGGAGCUGAUUCAGGCAGAAAUCCGAAAUGGAGUAAAGCAGAUUGCAGUUCCUCCUGGUACAACCAUUUCUACAGCUUCAUUUUCAAAUGAUGUUCCACAACCUACAGCAGUUGUAUCAUCUCCUGGUUCCAAAGAUCAAAUUAAAGGUGAAGAUGAAGAAAAGAAAAAGAAAGAAAAAGUAGAAAAAAAAGGUGAAAAGAAGGAGAAGAAACAGCAGCCAGCUGCUGGAAGUAGUGACGCGAAACCUGUAGAUGUUUCUCGUCUGGAUCUUCGUGUUGGCUGCAUUAUCACUGCUGAAAAGCAUCCGGAUGCAGACACUCUGUAUGUUGAACAAGUGGAUGUUGGUGAAGGAAGCCCGAGGACUGUUGUCAGUGGUUUAGUGAAGCAUGUUCCUCUGGAAAAGAUGCAGAAUCGGAUGGCAAUACUACUCUGUAACUUGAAGCCUGCAAAAAUGAGAGGAGUAGUAUCGCAAGCAAUGGUGAUGUGUGCCAGCUCCCCAGAAAAGGUGGAAAUUCUAGCACCCCCCCCUGGAGCAGUACCUGGGGACAGAAUCACUUUUGAAGGUUUUCCUGAAACCCUUCUAAAGAAAUAUUUUUCUGGGAAGAAGGAAUGCAGUGAGGAGAAGGCAUAGGAAAAUGCACAGCCUAAAGCUCUGGUAAAGAAACUACAGAAGUUAGACCGAUCUACAGGAAGAAAUGACACAGUUUUGCAAGCAUUUUGCAAGUGCACGAGUAGACUGAGCCAUUAAAAACAUUUAAAGGAGAAUGCCAAUAAGGUAUAAGGCAGGCUGGAGUGAGAGUAGUUUACUUAACCACUUGUUGGCCAGUCAGUCAGGAAUACACCAGGCAACAAUGAAUUUCAACCAACUUCUAGGAACAGGAGAUCCUGAGAAGGAGCUUAAUCCCAAGAAGAAGAUUUGGGAGCAAAUCCAACCCGAUCUUCAUACCAAUGACCAGUGUGUUGCUACAUACAAAGGAGUUCCGUUUGAAGUGAAAGGGAAAGGAGUCUGCAGGGCAGAGACCAUGGCAAACAGCGGAAUUAAAUAAAUAAAUGGUUUUUAGAAACUUU